ACAUGCCUACAUCAUAGAAUUAAUUCAUCAGAUCCCAUUAUAACUUCGUAGUUAAGUGCACUCAUGCUAGAGUAAUACUGGGAUGGGUGACCAUCCAAGAAGUCCUAGUGUUUUACAUACC
rnacentral:rRNA from 1 species